GUUAUAUGGUCAAGUGAAGAAGCGCAUACGGUGGAUGCCUUGGCAGUCAGAGGCGAUGAAAGACGUGGUAGCCUGCGAAAAGCUUCGGGGAGUCGGCAAACAGACUUUGAUCCGGAGAUCUCUGAAUGGGGGAACCCACCUAGGAUAACCUAGGUAUCUUGUACUGAAUCCAUAGGUGCAAGAGGCGAACCAGGGGAACUGAAACAUCUAAGUACCCUGAGGAAAAGAAAUCAACCGAGAUUCCCUUAGUAGUGGCGAGCGAACGGGGAUUAGCCCUUAAGCUUCAUUGAUUUUAGCGGAACGCUCUGGAAAGUGCGGCCAUAGUGGGUGAUAGCCCCGUACGCGAAAGGAUCUUUGAAGUGAAAUCGAGUAGGACGGAGCACGAGAAACUUUGUCUGAACAUGGGGGGACCAUCCUCCAAGGCUAAAUACUACUGACUGACCGAUAGUGAACCAGUACCGUGAGGGAAAGGCGAAAAAAGAACCCCGGAGAGGGGAGUGAAAUAGAACCUGAAACCGUAUGCGUACAAGCAGUGGGAGCCUACUUGUUAGGUGACUGCGUACCUUUUGUAUAAUGGGUCAGCGACUUAUAUUCAGUGGCAAGCUUAACCGUAUAGGGUAGGCGUAGCGAAAGCGAGUCUUAAUAGGGCGUUUAGUCGCUGGGUAUAGACCCGAAACCGGGCGAUCUAUCCAUGAGCAGGUUGAAGGUUAGGUAACACUGACUGGAGGACCGAACCCACUCCCGUUGAAAAGGUAGGGGAUGACUUGUGGAUCGGAGUGAAAGGCUAAUCAAGCUCGGAGAUAGCUGGUUCUCCUCGAAAGCUAUUUAGGUAGCGCCUCAUGUAUCACUCUGGGGGGUAGAGCACUGUUUCGGCUAGGGGGUCAUCCCGACUUACCAAACCGAUGCAAACUCCGAAUACCCAGAAGUGCCGAGCAUGGGAGACACACGGCGGGUGCUAACGUCCGUCGUGAAAAGGGAAACAACCCAGACCGCCAGCUAAGGUCCCAAAGUUGUGGUUAAGUGGUAAACGAUGUGGGAAGGCUUAGACAGCUAGGAGGUUGGCUUAGAAGCAGCCACCCUUUAAAGAAAGCGUAAUAGCUCACUAGUCGAGUCGGCCUGCGCGGAAGAUGUAACGGGGCUCAAACCACACACCGAAGCUGCGGGUGUCACGUAAGUGACGCGGUAGAGGAGCGUUCUGUAAGCCUGUGAAGGUGAGUUGAGAAGCUUGCUGGAGGUAUCAGAAGUGCGAAUGCUGACAUGAGUAACGACAAUGGGUGUGAAAAACACCCACGCCGAAAGACCAAGGGUUCCUGCGCAACGUUAAUCGACGCAGGGUUAGUCGGUUCCUAAGGCGAGGCUGAAAAGCGUAGUCGAUGGGAAACAGGUUAAUAUUCCUGUACUUCUGGUUACUGCGAUGGAGGGACGGAGAAGGCUAGGCCAGCUUGGCGUUGGUUGUCCAAGUUUAAGGUGGUAGGCUGAAAUCUUAGGUAAAUCCGGGGUUUCAAGGCCGAGAGCUGAUGACGAGUCGUCUUUUAGAUGACGAAGUGGUUGAUGCCAUGCUUCCAAGAAAAGCUUCUAAGCUUCAGGUAACCAGGAACCGUACCCCAAACCGACACAGGUGGUCGGGUAGAGAAUACCAAGGCGCUUGAGAGAACUCGGGUGAAGGAACUAGGCAAAAUGGCACCGUAACUUCGGGAGAAGGUGCGCCGGCUAGGGUGAAGGAUUUACUCCGUAAGCCCUGGCUGGUCGAAGAUACCAGGCCGCUGCGACUGUUUAUUAAAAACACAGCACUCUGCAAACACGAAAGUGGACGUAUAGGGUGUGACGCCUGCCCGGUGCCGGAAGGUUAAUUGAUGGGGUUAGCGCAAGCGAAGCUCUUGAUCGAAGCCCCGGUAAACGGCGGCCGUAACUAUAACGGUCCUAAGGUAGCGAAAUUCCUUGUCGGGUAAGUUCCGACCUGCACGAAUGGCGUAACGAUGGCGGCGCUGUCUCCACCCGAGACUCAGUGAAAAUUGAAAUCGCUGUGAAGAUGCAGUGUAUCCGCGGCUAGACGGAAAGACCCCGUGAACCUUUACUGUAGCUUUGCACUGGACUUUGAGCCUGCUUGUGUAGGAUAGGUGGGAGGCUUUGAAGCGUGGACGCCAGUUCGCGUGGAGCCAUCCUUGAAAUACCACCCUGGCAUGCUUGAGGUUCUAACUCUGGUCCGUGAUCCGGAUCGAGGACAGUGUAUGGUGGGCAGUUUGACUGGGGCGGUCUCCUCCUAAAGAGUAACGGAGGAGUACGAAGGUGCGCUCAGACCGGUCGGAAAUCGGUCGUAGAGUAUAAAGGCAAAAGCGCGCUUGACUGCGAGACAGACACGUCGAGCAGGUACGAAAGUAGGUCUUAGUGAUCCGGUGGUUCUGUAUGGAAGGGCCAUCGCUCAACGGAUAAAAGGUACUCCGGGGAUAACAGGCUGAUACCGCCCAAGAGUUCAUAUCGACGGCGGUGUUUGGCACCUCGAUGUCGGCUCAUCACAUCCUGGGGCUGAAGCCGGUCCCAAGGGUAUGGCUGUUCGCCAUUUAAAGUGGUACGCGAGCUGGGUUUAGAACGUCGUGAGACAGUUCGGUCCCUAUCUGCCGUGGACGUUUGAGAUUUGAGAGGGGCUGCUCCUAGUACGAGAGGACCGGAGUGGACGAACCUCUGGUGUUCCGGUUGUCACGCCAGUGGCAUUGCCGGGUAGCUAUGUUCGGAAAAGAUAACCGCUGAAAGCAUCUAAGCGGGAAACUUGCCUCAAGAUGAGAUCUCACUGGGAACUUGAUUCCCCUGAAGGGCCGUCGAAGACUACGACGUUGAUAGGCUGGGUGUGUAAGCGUUGUGAGGCGUUGAGCUAACCAGUACUAAUUGCCCGUGAGGCUUGACCAUAUAACACCCAAACA
rnacentral:rRNA from 1 species